UACGUAGGGUGCAAGCGUUUGUCCGGAAUUAUUGGGCGUAAAGAGCUCGUAGGCGGUUUGUCGCGUCUGCUGUGAAAUCCCGAGGCUCAACCUCGGGCCUGCAGUGGGUACGGGCAGACUAGAGUGCGGUAGGGGGAGAUUGGAAUUCCUGGUGUAGCGGUGGAAUGCGCAGAUAUCAGGAGGAACACCGAUGGCGAAGGCAGAUCUCUGGGCCGUAACUGACGCUGAGGAGCGAAAAGCGUGGGGAGCGAACAGG
rnacentral:rRNA from 1 species